AACGUAGGACGCAAGCGUUAUCCGGAGUUACUGGGCGUAAAGCGCGUGCAGGCGGAUCGGUAAGUUGGUUAUGAAAGCUCCUGGCUAAACUGGCAGAGGUUGACCAAGACUGCAGGUCUUGAGUGAGAGAGAGGGACACGGAAUUCCGGGUGUAGUGGUGAAAUGCGUAGAGAUCCGGAGGAACACCAGUGGCGAAGGCGGUGUCCUGGCUCUCAACUGACGCUGAGGCGCGACAGCGUGGGGCGCGAACGGG
rnacentral:rRNA from 1 species